ACCCGACCCGAUUCGGAGAGCCAAAGUACGGAGGAAGAGAAAAAGGAGUGGAAGGGGCGAGGGAAGGUCUUCCGUCGCUAAUAAUUUCUUCCCUUUCGCAAGGCGAUCUGCGAUUGAUCUUUUCUUGGUUCGCUUCCCUUUUCGAGGCCUUAAUUUGGUCUGAAGUCUAGGCUGAUGAGGAAUUUAGCGAUGCAUGCGUAUUGUUUGGCGAUGCGAGUUCUUGUUUUUCCGUUUCUUGGUUUUUUGAUUCUUAACGCGACUUAUUGCUCUCCGCUUCUUGGUUUUCUUAGACUCUCGCUAAGAGUUUAGAACUGGUAUUAGGUUUCUUGAUUUUUGUUUAUUUUUUUCCGAUAAUAAAAAAAUUAAGAUGAGAAAGCUGUUUCUAUGUUCCAUUUUUUUGGGAUUUUCUUUUCUUGAUGCUUUUUGUUCCUUUUCUUGGUGGCAAUCAUGGGUUCUUUUUGUUCUUUUCCUAUUUUCAGAUACUUUUGGGGUCGGCGCAGUGGAGGAGUCUUUGAAUAAAGGGUAGCUAGCGGGCGCAUUGAAGUUUUUUGAAUGCGAUCAAGAGUUUAAAACUGAUCGAAAAGUUUGAUUCCUCUUCUUUUUUUUUUGGCACUAAAGGGCAUGGUUUAGCCAUUAAUGGUCGGGGUCUGCUCGAUUAAAGGGCAUUCUUGAUUUUAAUUGCUUCCUGUAAAAGGAACAAGAGAUGAGAUAAGGCUUGCCUUGUGAUCUCCUUUUCAGGAUUUUACUUUCUUGAUAUUUUUGCUAUUUUUCUUUGUGUCAUUCAUAUUUGUCCUCCGAUUUUCAGAUGUCUUUUUGGGUUGUGAGCUUAAUUUAUGAGGGUUAUUCGCUAAACAAAGAUUCAUUGGGUACACCUAGCAUGACUCUUGGAGAGCAGGUAGUGAGCACAUCAGAAAAUCGAUGGCAAUUAGAAAUUUAAAAACUCAUAAAGAAGUUUGAUCCUCUUCCCGUGAAGUAGUGCAAUUGAUCAUUGAUGUUCUGCUUCUAUGUUGGUUAAAGGGGGUUUCUUGACUUGAAUCCUUUUUCGAACAAAGGAAUGAAGUAAGAGAACCUUUUAGGAUGUUCUUUCUCUUGAAAAUUAGGCAUCUCAGUUCUGAGCUUUAGGGAUAUCCCUAGCACAUAAUCUAUUUCAGAGGUGCCUUGGUAAGCAAAAUUUGGGUCUCUUUAUUUUGGAAGAAAGCAUGAAAUUGGUUAAUUGUCUUGUCCCAAAGGCCACGCUCUUCCAAGUUCGUUCAUGGUGAUGUAUUCUAAAUUAUGAAAAUCUCUGGAUGUAUAUUUUAGAGGCUCAGACCAAUAUUUUUUAAGUAGAAGAAAAUAGAAAUCUAGAGAUAUGGAUAGAUAGAUAAUUUGUACUUUUUAGAAAAUAGAUUGGACCUUCAGACAGCAUUUUUGUUGUAAUUUAUUUUAUGGUGAAAAUUUUAUACACAAAAUAUAUGGUUCAAGUUGGAAUUUAAGGAAUUCCUAGAUUGAGCCAUUUGAAAGUGGAAAAGAAAAUUAAAUACAUAUUAUUUUUUGUGAUAUUUUCCUAAAUUGAUUUUAUUAUAUAUAAUAUAACCUUGCUUGUAUCCUAUCUGAAUGUACUAAAAUGGUCUAAAGUUUUUCAUCAUAUGAAGCUUUUACAAUUACAUGUGUUUAUGCAUGCUUUCAUUUACAUGCAUAUUUCUCCAUCAGAUAUAAAAAUUUGUGGUAUGCAUAUGCAUCCUAGACAUUUCACAGAAUAUAACAUCAUCUUAUUGAGCCCUUUUCAAGUUAUCUACAUUUUAUUAGCCUGCUUUUAUGCAGCUAACUACUAUAUCUCUUUUGUCUUUCUCAUUUCCUCGAGGCUUGUGAUUUUUUGUUGAUUUUCUUUCAUUAACAAUUCACAUUCCAUUCAGAUUAGUAGAACCGUAACUUUUAAAAUUAGUGUGUAUAUACAAAAGAAGAUUAUUUAGUACAUCUAGAAGAGAUAUAUUUUUCCCUAGGUCUUAUCUAAAAAUAAUCACAAAAAGAAACCACCUAAGAAUGAUGAGUAAUUCUUGUAAUCUAUGAACAGAAAGCAAAAACUUUUUCCCAUUACCUUGUUAUCUAUUGUUUGAUUUAAUCUGCCAGUCCAUAUUUCUGCCAUUUAUUUGUUUCAACCCGAGAAAUGCAACCAUAUUUGUUACUUCAUCCAGCUUGUCGGUUGGACAUCACUCAUAGAACUGAAAAAGAUCAUGAUACAAGAGGAAUAGACUUUGGUUGGUUGGAAAGAUUGUAUCAUACCCAACCUCUUUCCCCUGUUAAGGAUCGUGCUGCUCUCAUAUUUGCGAGUGAAUAAUCUACCUAUUCUUUUUUCUUUUUUUUUUUUUUGGGGGGGGGGGGGGGCACACAAUCUUUUUCUCUAGGGACCACUUUAUUUCUAGUCUUUGUUAUUGUUUUUGUAGCACAUGGUUCUAGCUUGGAAUUUCAUCUGUGAUGUUUGUUUUUCUAAUAUGUGUAUUUGAAGCCUUUAUCUUAUCUUAGGUCCUCUUGCGGUCUGAACCAGUGGUAUGUAGAUCUAAAUUAAAGCCAAGCUGUUAAACAUUCCAGGGAUAAUUAAACAAGAUUAAAGGAAACUAUUAUCAACUUUCAUGUUGUAUGGCAGAAAUUGUUUCAGAAUUUUCCCCAAUGAGACAUCACCUUACUCUUAAUACUUAAAUGUCCUUUAUGCAGAGCAUAUUUACUAGUUAUAUGUUGGUUAAAAGAUUAAAAAUUUCAUGACUUUGACAACCAAUUUAUCUUCUUUGCACUUUUUUUUGGAGCAAAAGUGGCAGGUCCACAAGGUUACAUUUCAUGAAUUGUCAUUCCAUUUGCUUUUGAGUUUUGACGUUGCAAAGAUAAGCUCUAGUUAUUCUUCUAAUGUUCUGAUUCUAGUUUUUCUAUUGAGACCUUUCUUUUACGUGUUUCCAGUAUUCUAGAUCCUUAUAAAUCAGAUACCACCUGAGUUCAUUCAAAAUCUUGUAUGCCUUGAAUCACACAAGGUGCACUAGCAUUUUAGGAUGACCAGAAAUGUAGGAAUAAAAGGUGGUUAUAGAGUAUCUGGAACCUUUUUGUGAAUUCUACUGACUUAAAAAUCUAGGCCAACUUGUCUUUGACCUCUUCUCAUGUUUGGGAUAUUUUGUACUCGGACCCCUUGAGUUGUAUCUAUUCUAGGGUGAUUUAGUCCACCCGUCUUGUAAAAAAAAAAAGAAAGAAAAUGUUUGCCAUAAUGAUUGGGAUGCUGGUGAGAAGUUGAAGACCAAUAGCAUAGAAAAUCUUGGUGAACCAUGGAAACCUUUAUUUUUUUUUUCCUCUGUUCUUACCCUCUUUGGUCACUAUUUGUAAUUCAAAUUUAAUGGAGAGUUGUCAAAACCAGAAAACAUGCAUAAAGUACUUGUGGAGACUUUAUGGAUUUUUCAGUGCUAGUUGGUCUUUUUCUGAACAUUAGUUACAUACAAGCUAUUAAACAUGCAACUCUUUUGCAUCUACCUUUGAGUUGAGGUCUAAAAUACAAUAAAAAUUUAGUCUAGAGAUUCCCUCGACAGAGCAUCUUCACUACCUUGAAACGAAGAAAUGGAGAGGGGGAGUGGAAAAGCAGUGAGAAAGCUGAAUUGUUAGAAAGCAGUGAGAAAGCUGAAUUGUUAACAUUAUAAAACCAAGAAAAAUAAGGUUGAAAAGGAUUACAUUAGCGGAGAUCAAGGGUGCAGCAUAAAUAGAAAUUAAAUAUGGACAGUUAAUUUUGAUGAUUUGUCAUAUAUUUCUCAGGCCAUGAAUCACGCCAUCCUGAAGGAAAUUUACCUUCACGAAAAAGAAGAGGGGUAGAGAAGACUUGCAUGUCAUCGUCUAAAAUGUUUUGAAGACACUUUCUGGUUCAAGAGCUUACGUUCAUGAUGAUGAAGGCUAUGUCAGACAUAAAUGCAACACUGUUAGGUGUGAUAUAAUACAUAUUCUGCCUCCUUUUGUUUCAGCAAUCCAUUGGAAAUUAACAAAUUAUAUCGGAAUAAUGUACUAUAGAGUGAACUGAGUGAGAGAAAUCAUAAGGUGGUUGAAUGCAGAGAAAUCUAGAAAAUAUAACAAAAGCUUCAAUUAAGGGAGGGACAAGCACUUUGUGGUUGCAAAUGUUUAUUGAAGUGCCUCUGCUGCUAUUGGUUGGAUGUAACUAGGUGCUCCUUUUUGUUGUAUGAAGUCUUGUUUUGCAUAAUGAUAGAAAAUGCGGAAAGAAGGGCCUGAUUACACCUGGUAUUACAACAUUAGUAGAACCAGCUAGCGGAAAUCUUGGGAUUAGUUUCACAUUCAUUGCUGUUCAAAAAGGUUACAGGUUCGUUGCAGUUAUGCCAGCUCAUUUUUUACUUGAUAAAUGGAUUUUGUUGAGAUAUAUGGGUGCCAAAUGUUUCUGACUGGUAAGAAAGCAGACCACAACUUACUUGAACUUGAAUGGAGGCUUGCUUAUCAGCAUAUAUGCCAGUUUAGAAGCUAGUUUAAGGGUUGAUUUUAUCAUUUCCUGCAGAUCCUGUUAUCCAUUUUUCACAGUUUGACUCCUUACUGUUCUUCUGACUGAAAUGUUUAGAGGCUGCAAGUAGAGAGGAAAACAAAGGGAAGAUGAUUGUUACAAUGUUUCCAAGUGGUGGUGAAGGAUACAUGAGCACAGAACUCUGACAGAUUGAAAGAGGAAGUGUAUUAAUCUGAAUUUUUUGCAGAUAAUAUCCUUGGGUCAUACAUCAAAUCACUACAUUCUCCCCCACUGCCACAUGUAUGUAGACAUAGUUCAUUGUAAACUUUGUAUUGGAUCGAGGUUUAAUAAGAAAUACUACUUUCAACCAUCUCAUGGCAACUCAUCGUUUUUGUUAUUAAAUGUGAAAUGAAAACUUCACCUUUCGCAAGCUCUAGAUUGUUCUGAUAGCUCUACUCUUGCAUAAGCACAUGGUGGGAAAAAGGAUAACAUGGUAUGCUGCGAUUUAGAAAAACCAAACCAAUCUUCUGGUCUACUGGCUAUGACUUUAUGAUUUGUUUAGUUGUUGAGUUUUUUUUAAGGAGAAGAACAUGGAGGAGGAGAAGCAGAAGAAGAAGGAGAAGCAGAAAAAAAGUAGGAGAGGGAUACCUUCACCAUUCUCUUCUUGGUUCGCUCCUCAUUGAGCUGAUGAAAGAUUUUUAGCAAUGUAUUAUAUUUCCUAAUGAGGUUAUUCUUGAAGAAGAAGAAGAGAGGAGAGCGAUCCCUUCACUAAUUUCUUCUUGUUCUGUCCUCUUUAAGCCGAGGAGAGAUUUUUAGCAGCGUAUUAUAUUUUGAUGAGGUUCUUCCUGCUUUUUGUUUCUUGUUUUGUUUUUUUGAAUGCUUUUGGUCACUUUGUUGGUUGGAGUUCCAUUAUUUGAAGUGUUUCCAGUAUAAAGAACAAGAAGAGAGAACCUGUUCAGCUUUUAUUUCAAGAAUCAGAGAAAGCAAGUUGGUGUUUUAGCAAAAAAAGCAAGUUGGUGUUGGUGGAAGUUUAUGACCUUUUGUAAUGAUUUUUCCUUAAUGCUUAUUACUUUUAUAUGUUUUGUCUUUCUCAUUUCCUGAUGACUAGUAAGUUUGAAGAAGGCGGCUAAUGGAGGCGAUGAUAGGGAUCCCUUUGCUAUGCUCUUCUGAAGAGGAAGACGGGACAGAGGACAUGGCCUCUGAUAUGGCUCAGGUGUAUGUGGCUCAUCGUAUUGCUUCCAUUUUUUACUCUUAACCUUUCUUGGUUCACUCCUCUUUAAGCUGAAAAGAGAUUUUUAGCAAUGUAUUAUAUUUCCUGAUGAGGUUCUUCUUUCUUUUUGUUUCUCAGUUUGUUUUUCUUAACGCUUUUCAUCACUUUGUUGGUUGGAGUUCUGUUAUUUGAAGUGUUUCCAGUAUAGAGAACAAGGAGAGAGAACCUGUUCAGCUCUUCUUCCGAGAACCAGAAAAAGCAAUUAGGUGUUGGUGGGAGUUUAUGACCUUUUGUAAUGAUAUUUCCUUCAUGCUAGUUAUUUUGUAUGUUUAAUCUUUCUCAUGUCCUGAUGACUAGUAAGUUUUUAUUAUACAAAUACACAUUCUAUUCCCCAAUGACUAGCUAGUGAUCUAUGUGUGAUUGUUGAUGCAAGGCCAUACUUCUGCCAUAUUAAUUUCUUCCAAGUGGACAGACAGACUUGCUUGUGUUACUUUAUUCAGCUCAGAGUUUGGGUGUGUCGCUCAUAGAGCUGAAGCAGAUAACAGUAAAAGAUGGGAUAAAUGUCCAGUUGGUUGGAAAGUUUUAGCCAUACCAACCCCUUUGCUUUGUCAAGGACAUUCCACUCUCCAGUUUGUGAUUGAAUAUUUUCGCAUUUCAUUCUGUUCAAAAACAAACCUUUUUCUCCAAUUAUCUGCUCCUUUAUGUAUUCUACCUUGGAGUUCUGUGUAAUGAAGAAGCAGAUAACAGUAAAAGAAGGGGUAAAUGUCCAGUUGGUUGGAAAGAUUUAGUCAUACCAACCCCUUUGCUUUGUCAAGGGCAUUCUUCCCUCAGGUUUGUGAGUGAAUAUUCUCGCAUUUCCUUCCGUUCAAAUGCAAACAUUUCUCUCCAUUUAUCUGUUCCUUUGUAUUCUUUUUUACGCUAGCAGUUGAUGUAUUCUACCUUCGAGUUCGUGUGUAAUGAUGUUUAGUUUCUUUCUAUAUGUUUGAAGCUUUUAUCUUAUCAUGCUAGGUCCUUUUGUAAUAUGAACUAGCAUAGACUUAGAUUAGAGCCACAAUGCUAAAAUUCAAAAAUAUUUAAAUGAGACAUAAGGCAUUUGGAAGCAUGUCUUCAAAGGUAGAAUUGUCACAAACUAUGCCAUAGGAGGAUGGUAGAGGGGAUUUAUGAAUAAAAUAACUAGUACAGGAGGUUGAGUUGGUUAAAGCUCACAAUUAAUUUUUGCUGGCUAGAUUUUGAGCUUACUAGAAGUUUUGAUCGUACCAUCUUGUGAACCUUAAAUUUGUCUUUCUCAUACAUGAUUACUUUUUCUAUUUUAUCUAUGUUAACUUUUCUGAGAUCUUAUCUAUGAUUCCAUUCAUAUGUAUGUGCAACUUAUAUUCAUAUGAUAGUAGUUGUUUUUUUUUUUUUGCUAAGAUAGGCGAUUCACACUAGAUUCACACUACUCUAGUAUGAAUACAUUCAAAAAAAUCAGAAAACAACAGGUUCUGAAAAGCUCUUGGCAUUUGCGCCUCACUGUACCAAAGAGCUCAACCGGAUUAAUUAGCCACAAAGGAAGCCAUCCAAUCCGCUUCUCUAUUCGCCUCGUGGUAGAUGUGCCUCGUCCCAAAAGAGAUGCAUCCUCUCGCCAAACUCCAGAUGUCCUAAAGUAGGGGUUAAGUGCAUACCUCCGUCACUCGUCCUUGGCUCUAACCAAUCACCGUGGCCGAGUCACCUUUCAUGAAAUUGACGUUGACUCUUAAAAUGUGUCGGGCGUGGCAAAGGCCGGUCUAGGCUGCUCUCAACUCUGCUCCAAAAAUUGAGAUAUUGAAGAUUGGGCUCCCGCCAGCUAUAAUAAGUCUAGAGUCUGGGCUUUCCUCAACCUUUCUUGCCAUCAUACAUCCAUCGAAGAUGACCUUGAAAAAACUCGAGGGUGGGGGCUCCCAAGGGAUAAACACCAUUCAAGACGCUACAAGAGCAGAGGUAGAGUUUCAGGUGCCCCGAGUUAUGAUAGAUUCUCCAAAAAGAUUUGAGUGGAUGAUUUCAGUAGCCUGCGCUCGAGAUCUCUCCAGGAUUAUCCUUGGUGGUGGAAUGCUCUUUUCAAAGAUUCAGGUAUUCCUGGCUAUCCAAAUGUGGUAGGUAACAAAUGCAGUCAUAACCGCCUUGGAUUUGAGGUGAGGCCUACCCAACCAACUCCUUAGGAACUGAAGGAAGGAGUCAGCCAUGGUUGUCAUAUGGAGCAUACACGCCCUGUUCUCCUGCACUGGAAGAGAACAUGAUUAACAGACUCCAGCUCACAGCAAGGGCAAGUCCGUGGGAUGCUCAACUUGCAUUUGAAAACAUGUCUUAAAAGUAGAAUUGUCACAAAUUAUGCCAUGGAAGGAUGGUAAAUGAGAUUUAUGAAUAAAAUAACUAGUACAUGCAGGUUGAGUUGGUAUAUAAAGCUCAUAAUUAAUUCUUGUUGGCUAGAUUUUGAAUCCACUAGAAAUUUUGAUCAUACCAGCAUGUGAACCUGAAAUUUGUCUUUCUUGUACAUGAUUACUUUUCUGAUUUUAUCCAUGUUAACUUUUCUGAGAUUUUAUAUAUCAUUCCAUUCAUAUGUAUGUGCAACUUAUAUUCAUAUGAUAGUAGUUGUUUUUUUUGUUAAGAUGGGCGAUCCACACUACUCUGGCAUGAAUACAUUCAAGAAAAUCUACAAACAAGAGAUUCUGAAAAACCCUUGUUAUUUGCGCCUCACCGAUCCAGAGAACUCCAUCAGAGUGAUCGACGACAAGGAAGCCAUCCAAUUCGUCUCUAUUCGCCUCUUGGUAGAUGUGCCUCAUCCCCAAAAAAAAACAUCCUCUUGCCAAACUCCAGACGACCUAAAGCAGGGGGUAGGUGCAUACCUCCCUCACUCAUCCUUGGAUUCAGCCAAUCAUUGUGGCCGAGUCACCUUUUAUCAAAUUGGCGUCAGUUCUCAAAAUACACCGGGCAUGGCAGAGGCGGCCCAUGCUGCCCCUAACUCUGCUCCAGGAAUCGAGAUAUUGAAAAUCGGGCUCCCGCCAGCUGCAACAAGUCUGGAGUCUGAGCUCCCCUCAAUCCCUCUUGCCACCAUCCAUCAUACAUCCAUCGAAGUUAAUCUUGAGAAAACUCGAGGGUGGGAGCUCCCAAGUGAUAAACACUAUUUGAGAUGCUACAAGAGUAGAAAUAGAGUCCCAGGUGCCCCGAGUCAUCUUAGAUUCUCCAAAAAGAUCUGAGUGGAUGAUCUCAGCAGCUUGCACCCAAGCUUUCUCCAGGACUAUCCUCGGUGGUGGACUGCUUUUCCUAAAAAUUCAGGUAUUGCUAGCUAUCCAAAUAUGGUAGGCAAUAUAUGUAGCCAUAACUGCCUCGGAUUUGAGGUGAGACCUACCUAACCAACUCCUCAAGAACUGAAGGAAGGAGUCAGCCAUGGUCGUCAUAUUGAGCACCUUCGAAGGGAUGGUGGUCAAUCUCCACGCUCGCUCCGCUCUCCCACACCAAAAGAGGACAUUAUCAACAGACUCCUCCACCUAGCAGCAGGGGCAAGUCCGUGGAAUGCUCAACUCGCGUCUGCUCAAGACAGCCCUGGUCGGAAGGUGUCCUUAAGUCAUCUUCCAAAAAAGCAGAGCAACUCUCGGUACUCCAUACUUUCACAUCAGGAGUACUGCACUCUGGAAACUCAAAAGACUGCACCCUCUCGGCCAAGUACAUUCUAAAGAAGCGGCCAAUCUGGCUGAUAUCCCACCUCUUUCCAAGAAGAAGCGGCCGAUCCGGCUGGUAAGCCCACCACAAUAGUAGUUGUUUUGAUUUGCGUUUGACUUUAUCAUUUUGUGUCAACAGUCUUUUAUUUGACAUUCUGCUUUGAUAAUGUGUACUAAAAUGUCACUCUUGCAAUAAAUUGGUGUAUCUAAUUGUUCUUUCUUAUCAUCUGACGUGCAUUUGAUUUCCAAGAUGAUAGGGGAUGCAGAGAAGGGCCUGACUACCCGACAUUACUACAUUGAUAGAGCCCCCUAGUGAAAAUCUUGGGGUUGGUUUGGCUUAUGUUUCUGUCAGAAAAGAUAUAGUUCCUGUCAUGCCAGCUCAUUUUUCACUUGAUAAAUUGAUUUUGUUGAGAUUUUUGGAUUCUGAAGUGUCACUGGGUGGUAAGAAAGAAAUCCAGAAUUCAUUUGGCAAUGGAUUGUUAUACUAGUAGUAGUUUCAUUAGAUGCUUCAGAUGGUUAUGGGUCUACUUCUGUACUAUUUGGUGUUUCAAGUUUCAAUAACUGCACAUCUUGUGGUGUUUCAAACUACCAUAUGUGGGGUUCUGUGAUGCCUAUAUUGUUUACUCAGGAUAUUGCUUUGGAUCUUACUGUUGUUUUGUUCUAUUUUAACUUUCUUCCACGAUGUUGCCAAUCCCUUUGAAAUGCAUGUAACCAAAACUAGAAUCCAUCAAAACAAGUCCCAACCCUUAGAGAUCCAGAAGGAGGACAACAAACAUCAGGCACAUACGGUAAAUAUUUUUCUGUAGCUUGUCGUUGCCCAGAAAUAAUUUGUUGGUAUGGCGCAGAUCCUGGCCUUUCCGUUGAAGAAAGCGGUCUUUAUAAUUGCACUCGAGACGGAACAAGGGGGGCGGCUAUUUUGUUGUCACUUUUGUUCCCACUUGUAAAUAGUAAUAAUGCUUCCAUACAUUGCAGUUGAAUAUGUAUAAGAAUAUUUUUAUCAUUUAAUAGAUAUAAUUAGUACACUAAAACAUAAAAUAAUCAUUACAAAAAAAUUGCAUUCAUCAAAUGAUAAAAAUAAAUUAAUGCAUAUACAGCUACCUUGUAAUAUUAUACAUAUGGAAUAUUUUUAUCAUGUAGGUGAGAACAAUUAGUUAUUUCCUUGAAAUUAAUCAUCUCUUGGAAUGGUUGUGUUGUAAUAUUGAUCCGAUAAUGAAUGUUAAUGUUAUCUUAAAAGGUCUCAAGAAUUGGCUUUCCUUCCCCAUUUGGAGAGAUUUUCUAAGGCGUCAGUACUUUCGAGUCAAGAUCAAAGACACUGCAGAGUGCCCUCCGGGACCUCCCAGAUCACACUGCCAAACCAAGAGCCUGUCAUCGGCAUUUGGCCAACGCUCUUCUCAGAGAACCAUGCGCCUCGCCCUUCAAUUGCUAGCGUCCGAUAAAUAGAAAAAAAAAAGAAAAAACAGAAAAAAAACACUAAGACAUAGUAUCUAAAAAAUCUUUAUUCACAAGAAGCUUGAAAUCAACACUUUGAAUAACAAUUCAUUCAGUUUUCACAACACCAAACUUGGAACUGCAAAUAUAAUGGUCUCAAUCCAAUACAAUAUAUAUGACCCUUGAAAGCCUUGCAUCCCAAGUUUUUCUCGCCACUUGCAAUAAUUCAAGGACAUUGCCCCGCAGUAUUUGGGAACUACACUUUGCUCUUAGAACCAGCUUCCAUACUCUUUAUGUAGGUGUACAAAACAAAUAACAUUACGAAUGCAAAUAGCAUUAAACAUUUCCAA